rnacentral:lncRNA from 1 species
UAUGGAGUAGCCAUUCUUUUAUUCGAAUACUUUACUCUCCUAACAAACUUGCUUUCAUUUUACUCUACAGACUCACCCUGAAUUCUUUCUUGCACUUGCUCUAAGAACCCUCUCUUGGGGUCUGGAUCCGGACCGCUUUCUGCUAACACUUCUACAUACCACGUUUAUUUGAGACAGAAAAAUACAGCAAGGACAUCCAUCUAAACUUUGUCUGGAGUCUGGGCCCAGGGGAGCUGCAGUACAUGGAGGGUCUCUGGAAGUGGGUAUGGCAGAUUAGCGCCUAAGCUCAACUGGCUUUCCUCCUCUGCCUCUGUUCCUGGGACUUGCUCACGGCUCACAAGCAUUUCCCAGGGGAGUAAAAGGAAGGAUCAAAGCUACAAUGGGCUUGGCUGCCCUUCUCCAGGAAUGGCCAGAGGACAACUUCUGCUUGGUGAGCAGCCAUUUAUGCCACCCCGGUGCUGGCAGGUCACCUCUCCUGGGCUGGGGAGCAGGAGUUCAAUGAUUAACUAGAGGAGGCCAUCUCUGGAGGACAGAAAGAGUCUUCUGAUCUGGUUAGCCAUGCAGACCUGAGCCUGGAUUUUCCUUCCCACUCCACUUCAAGAGAGGGGUGGGUUCAUUUCCACAGUUCUCCUUCCUGCAGCAGGAAGGGAGAGUAGAAACCCAACUUCCCAGACACCAACUCCAUUUCCACACAAAGCAGUAGAGCCCAGACCUAAGGGUUCUGGAGCCACACAGACCUGGUUUGAGUCCUGGUUCCAUCACUUAUCUGUUCUGGGACAUUGGGCAAGUGCCUUAACCUUCCCGGGCUACAACUUAGUGGCGGAAAUCAGUGGAGUAAAACCUCAUUCAGAAAAUUUUUUCAAAACUGAUGUCAUCCUGGGAACAACUUGCAGAAUGCUAUUUUUCUUGCACUGAGCAAAAAGAGGUUAGUUACACUAGGUGUCAUCCCGGGGAAUCAGGUCUCAUCACAGGGCCCACACCAUCUGAGACCUUUUCAGAUCCUCUAAGAUGCUGAGACAAGAAGCCAUCUGGUCUUGGAGGGAAUGGAGAUGGUAAGAGCAUUGUCAAUGACAUGGAAGUCUGAGAAGUGUCCUAUUCAUGCCUUUGGAAAAGACUUCUCUGCCUGUCUGGUUUUUAUGCUCUCCCCACACUUUAGGAGAAAAUAAUGGUUUUGCUGACUUCAUCUGGUCACCUCUGCAAAUGCCCCCAACCCCUGUUAUUUUGUGUCUGCUGUGUACCAGAUUCUCUGCUAGACUGCCUACAUGCACUAUCUCAUUUCAUCUCCAUAACCAAACCAAUGGAGUAGGUAUUAUUAUCCCAUUUUAUACAUGAGAAAACUAAGAUUCAGAUAGAUUGAGUCAACUGCCCAAGGCAGUAAGUUAGAGCACCAUAAUUCAAACCUAACUCCGUGUAAUUCCACAGCCUAUUCCAUAGCCUGUGUUUUCUUCCCCUAGGAAAGUUCCUGGAUACUUCUGGAACAGAAUUCUCCUGGGGUGAGUGGUUCACACAACUGACCCACUUCAUCCCCACUCAGCAAAAUGAGAGCGCCGUUGACUGACAACAAAAUGCUGAACUGGAAACCUCCGCAGUAAAACGUGAUGCAGAACAGAGAAAGAACUAAGAUGUUCUGCACAGACGGUAUCAUGCCCUCUAUGAGGAAACUACUCGAGCAUAUCUGUGUUUCAAAUGAUGUCUUUGAACUAUUUAUGUUAAAUGCCCCCCCAAAAAAAUGGAAAGGCUUCUUCGUAGAGGAAAGAGCUUGAAGUUGCUAGGCUGUUCUGCCUUCAACAGGCAUUUAUUGUGCAGCUACAAAAUGCUGCACCAAGCACUGGGCAGUGGAAAGGUGAUUCAGACACAGUUCCUUUGACAAAACCUCAAAAUCCCAUGUGAAGUUCUCUUUUAUAAAGUAAAUCAGAAAAGAUUCAAAAGUUGAGGUACCAAAAAAAAAUAAUAUAAAUGCAAGUAGUAAAGCGCUAUUGACUGUAAAUAGAAGCACUUAAUAAGUGGUUGUUGUUUCUGUUCUUCUCUCUAAUAAGUGUAUACAGGUGGCUAAAUGCUUUUGUUGAGCUAUGAGUACCUCAUUCUGUGGAGUGACUCAGAAAGUCUCUAGGUGUUAGACUGGAAACAGGUGAUGUUCAGUGCACGCAAUGCUUGAAGUGUUCCCAGGUAUUUAGUUUCAGGUAAAUUUUACUGUUUAAAAAAAUUGUUUUUACUUGCUAUUAAGUGUGUUGACCUUGGAUAAUUUACUUAACCUCUCUAUGCCUUGCUUCCUUUUCUGCAAAAUGAGAGUAAGAAAAGUGCUUACCUCAUUGGCUUUUUGUGAAAUUCAAUGAGUUAACACGUGGGAGAAAAGAUGUUUUUAAAUAAUCAAUUCUUAGCAGUUGGUCAUUGUUAUGAGUUACAUCAUGCGUAGUUAAAUAUUUUUUAAAAAAUUAAAAUUUAUUUUCCUAUAGGAAAAAGGAGGGACUGAAUUGUGAAUCCAUUUUCUCUGCUUUCAGUUAUUUCUACUCCUGAGAAAAACCCUAAGCACUUAGGGUCUAGAACCACAUCCCGAGACGGUGAGCUCUUCCCACAUUUUCACAUGUGCCUGAAUCAUUUGUAGGUCUCGUUCAAGCAGAGAAUCUCCGGGAUUCUCACUCGGGAGGUCUGGGGUCGGGCCUGAGUCCUUGCAUUUCUAACAAACUCCCAGUUGAUGCUGGUGCCACUGGUUCUGAAUUAAGAUGCUUGUUUACCUAGUGACAGCAACAAAAAUUGUAGCAAUGGUAUCCAGAAAUAAACAGCAUACUUUUAUAGGGCUAGUCAAAUGAACCCAAACAUACAAAAUAAAGGCAAACCUCACAAUCUUCUUGCAAUGAUUUAUUACUCUGAGAGCUCAUUUUAGGUGAGAUUGUCUCCCUCCGGAGCCUGAUUCCUAAAAGCUUUCUAUGACUUUGAAAUUAUCGUUUUCCUUUUGGAGGUAGCACAAUAUAAGAGCUAAGAAGAGAAUGAGAACUGGAGUCCCUCCCAGGUUUGCCCCUCUAGGUAUGUAAGCUAAGGUAAACUACUUAGCCUUUCUUAAGCCUCAGUUUUCUCAUUACAAAUGGGCAUAUACGGAACAUUGGCUUGCCUCCUACAGUUGUUUGAGGACUCAAUGAAAAUGUACGUGAAGCUGGUUGCGGUGAGCUGAGAUUGUGCCACUGCACUCCAGCCUUGUGACACAGCGAGACUCCGUCUCAAAAAAAUAAAUAAAUAAAUAAAUAAAAAUAAAAGACUGG